AUGCAGAAUUCAGUGAAUCAUCGAAUCUUUGAACGCACCUUGCACCCUUUGGUAUUCCGAAGGGKACGCCCGUKUUGARUGUCAUU
rnacentral:rRNA from 1 species